UACGUAGGGUGCAAGCGUUAAUCGGAAUUACUGGGCGUAAAGCGCACGUAGGCGGAUUUGUAAGUCAGGGGUGAAAUCCCGGGGCUCAACCUCGGAACUGCCUUUGAUACUGGAAGUCUUGAGUAUGGUAGAGGUGAGUGGAAUUCCGAGUGUAGAGGUGAAAUUCGUAGAUAUUCGGAGGAACACCAGUGGCGAAGGCGGCUCACUGGACCAUUACUGACGCUGAGGUGCGAAAGCGUGGGGAGCAAACAGG
rnacentral:rRNA from 1 species